AUUGAACGCUGGCGGCAUGCUUUACACAUGCAAGUCGAACGGUAACAGGCCUUCGGGUGCUGACGAGUGGCGAACGGGUGAGUAAUGCAUCGGAACGUGCCCAAUCGUGGGGGAUAACGUAGCGAAAGUUACGCUAAUACCGCAUAAGCCCUGAGGGGGAAAGUGGGGGACCGCAAGGCCUCACGCGAAUGGAGCGGCCGAUGUCAGAUUAGCUAGUUGGUGGGGUAAAGGCCCACCAAGGCGACGAUCUGUAGCGGGUCUGAGAGGAUGAUCCGCCACACUGGGACUGAGACACGGCCCAGACUCCUACGGGAGGCAGCAGUGGGGAAUUUUGGACAAUGGGCGCAAGCCUGAUCCAGCCAUGCCGCGUGCGGGACGAAGGCCUCGUGU
rnacentral:rRNA from 1 species